rnacentral:rRNA from 1 species
UACGUAGGUGACCAGCGUUGUCCGGAUUUACUGGGCGUAAAGAGCGCGCAGGCGGUCGUUCAAGUCGAGUGUGAAAGCCCCCGGCUCAACUGGGGAGGGUCACUUGAUACUGAUCGACUCGAAGGCAGGAGAGGGAAGCGGAAUUCCCGGUGUAGCGGUGAAAUUCGUAGAUAUCGGGAGGAACAUCAGUGGCGAAGGCGGCCUUCUGGUCCAGUACUGACACUCAAGUGCGAAAGCGUGGGGAGCAAACAGG